rnacentral:rRNA from 1 species
GGGCCCGCACAAGCGGAGGAACAUGUGGUUUAAUUCGAUGAUACGCGAGGAACCUUACCUGGGCUUAAAUGUAGAGUGCAUUCGGCUGAAAGGCUGAUUUCCUUCGGGACUCUCUGCAAGGUGCUGCAUGGUUGUCGUCAGCUCGUGCCGUGAGGUGUCGGGUUAAGUCCCAUAACGAGCGCAACCCUUAUCGUUAGUUGCCAGCGGGUAAUGCCGGGAACUCUAACGAAACUGCCGGUGUAAACCGAGAGGAAGGUGGGGAUGACGUCAAAUCAGCACGGCCCUUAUGUCCAGGGCUACACACGUGUUACAAUGGCCGGUACAGAGGGCAGCUAUGCCGCGAGGCAAUGCGAAUCUCGAAAGCCGGUCUCAGUUCGGAUCGGAGUCUGCAACUCGACUCCGUGAAGCUGGAUUCGCUAGUAAUCGCGCAUCAGCCAUGGCGCGGUGAAUACGUUCCCGGGCCUU